AUGGCGUUGCUGCUGCUGGGGUUUCUUUUCUGCCUCUUGGCGGCUCCCUUCUGUGUCCGCUCACAGAUCCAGCUGGUCCCGUCUGCCCCGGGAGAGGUGAAGCCCGGAGAGUCCCUCACAGUGACUUGUACCGUGUCAGGGGACUCCAUCGCUACCCGCGCCUGGUGGAACUGGGUGCGCGAACUCCCCGGCCGAGGGCUGCAAUGGGUAGGGCGCAUCCAUUUCUCCGGGAGCACGAACUACGCCCCCGACCUGCAAACCCGAGCGAACAUCUCCAAAGAUGACGCCAAGAAUGAGUAUUACCUGCAACUCCGCUCCCUGACCGCUGCGGACACCACCACGCAUUGCUGCACCAAGUGGAACCCACAGCGAUACGGGCCAUGA